rnacentral:rRNA from 1 species
GGGAGUGACACGUGACCAAUGCGGAAAGGUGAAAGCGUGAGGUGCAAGCUUCGCGUCUAAGCCCCCGUGAAUGUCGGCCGUAACUAUAACGGUCCUAAGGUAGCGAAAUUCCUUGUCGGGUAAGUUCCGACCCGCACGAAUCGUGUAACGAGUUGACGACUGUCUCGGAGAGAGGUUCAGUGAAAUUGUAGUGGCGGUGAAGAUGCCGCCUACCCGCAGCAGGACGGAAAGACCCUAUGCACCUUUACUGUAAGCUGUUAUUGUCGCUUGAUUUUCAAUGCGUAGAAUAGGUGGGAGACUUUGAAGCCUCGCUCCAGGGCGAGGCCGAGUCGAAAUAUGAAAUACCACUCUUUGUUGAUUAGGCGUCUAACCUCGAGCCAUUAUCUGGCCGUGGGACAGUGAUAGCAGGUCAGUUUUUCUGGGGCGGAAUCCUCCAAAAAGAGUAACGGAGGAUUACGAAGGUUCCCUCAGCCCGGUCGGUAAUCGGGGCUAUAGAGCGCAUGAGUAUAAGGGAG